ACACACUCUCUCUCUCUCUCUCUCUACCCUCAUGUUUUCAUUUCCCAUUUUUUCUCUGUUUCAAUUCUUUCUCUGAUCUUCCAAAAAUUAAAAAUUAAAAAAAAAAAAAUGGUCUCUUCAACUGCAACGAGUGCCACCUUAUUGACUCUGUCUCAUGCUUCUCCACAUUUAUCUCCUUUCUCAAAACUUAACACGUUUACACCCAAACACACGCAACUCAAAUUCACCGCUACCAACAACAACAACAAAAACAACAACGUUGUUAAUGUCCUAUGUACCUCUCCUUCAACUUCCAGAUUCAGAUUAACGGCUUCUCAAACACUUUCUGCCAACGUUGGUGGUGGCGUCGCCAAUAAGCUUAACUUUCUCGCUUCCGAAUUCGGGUCUCUCUCGGAGCCAAUCGAUCGGGUCAAAAGGCUGCUACAUUACGCGGCUCUCUUACCACCCUUGGAGGAUUCGGAGCGGGUUGUUGAGAACCGGGUCGUGGGUUGCUCCACCCAGGUAUGGGUUGUGGCGGAGAUGGACAACGUUGGGAGGAUGAGGUUCAGAGCCGACAGUGAUUCUGAGAUAUCAAAAGGUUUCUGUUGGUGUUUGGUUUGGAUGUUGGAUGGUGCUGAACCAGAGGAGGUUCUCAUGGUGGAGAAAGAGGAUUUGAUUGGCAUGAACGUUGGGUUGAAUGUUAAGACACGAUCCAGGGUCAACACGUGGCACAACGUUUUGUUUUCCAUGCAAAAAUCUACUAAAGAUUUCAUCUUGCAGAUGCCCAUGGAAUCAACCUCUAUUCAUCGGUGGUGAAGAAGAAUUCAUGCUUUUGGCUCUAAUUUGAUGAUGUAGUAUGUAGGUGUUAACUAGUCUGCAUAUACAGAGCAGUUAAUGGGAAUGCAUAGUCAGUCAUGCAGGUACCAGAUAAUCCAGAGACCGGACUUCAUUGCCUGUGCUGUGAGAGAUUGCCUAUUAGGAUGAAUGGAAUAUGAAUUGAUUAGACGUUUAUUCCAAUCUUGGUACUCAUAAUGAUUUAUUGAUUUUAGAAGAAUUUUAUUCAUAGUGACCUUAGAAAGCUGAGAAACUCUAGAUGUAUUUGAGUAGCAUAGAUUGCAUACAAGUCUCUGUUUGGAUAAUGUAUAUAGAAUAGAAAUUGCUCUUAUGCUUCAAUUGUAAGGCAACCUUCAAAUGUCAUACUAACGGGGAAUAUUUUUAGUAGAAAU